rnacentral:rRNA from 1 species
UACGUAGGCAGCAAGCGUUGUUCGGAAUUACUGGGCGUAAAGAGUGUGUAGGCGGUGUUCUAAGUCUGUUGUGAAAUCUCCCGGCUUAACUGGGAGGGUGCGGCGGAAACUGGAAUGCUAGAGGAUGGGAGAGGUAAGCGGAAUUCCUGGUGUAGCGGUGAAAUGCGUAGAUAUCAGGAGGAACACCUGUGGUGUAGACAGCUUACUGGACCAUUACUGACGCUGAGACACGAAAGCGUGGGUAGCAAACAGG